CGUAACGACUCUCGGCAACGGAUAUCUCGGCUCUCGCAUCGAUGAAGAACGUAGCGAAAUGCGAUACUUGGUGUGAAUUGCAGAAUCCCGUGAACCAUCGAGUCUUUGAACGCAAGUUGCGCCCGAAGCCUUCCGGCCGAGGGCACGUCUGCCUGGGCGUCACGC
rnacentral:rRNA from 33 species